rnacentral:rRNA from 1 species
GAUGAACGCUAGCGACAGGCCUAACACAUGCAAGUCGAGGGGCAGCAUGAAAUUAGCUUGCUAAUUUUGAUGGCGACCGGCGCACGGGUGAGUAACACGUAUGCAACCUGCCUGUAAGCGGGGGAUAACCCGGAGAAAUUCGGACUAAUACCGCAUAAUAUCAUCGAAUCGCAUGGUUUGAUGAUUAAAAAUUUAUUGCUUACAGAUUGGCAUGCGUAUGAUUAGCUAGUUGGCGGGGUAACGGCCCACCAAGGCGACGAUCAUUAGGGGUUCUGAGAGGAAGGUCCCCCACAUUGGAACUGAGACACGGUCCAAACUCCUACGGGAGGCAGCAGUGAGGAAUAUUGGUCAAUGGACGCAAGUCUGAACCAGCCAUGUCGCGUGAAGGAUGACUGUCCUAUGGAUUGUAAACUUCUUUUAUAUGGGGAUAAAGUGUGAGACUUGUCUCAUUUUGCAUGUACCAUAUGAAUAAGCAUCGGCUAACUCCGUGCCAGCAGCCGCGGUAAAAC